rnacentral:lncRNA from 1 species
CGCUCCCUCUGAAUUCGCCGGGCAGGGAUACAGCCGCCCGGGGCCUCUUGCUCGUGCUUGGUUUUCCGGACCUUGCUUCCUAAAGGGUCUUUAGGGGUUCCCGGACUCCUCCGCCUGGGAGCCUCUAUCCGCCUGGGAGCCUCUAUGCGCCCCGCAAAGCCCCCGGCAGAGCCGAGGGGAGGCUUCAUUGGCGACCUGGUGGGGCCUCGCGGCCCUGCUCCCUGACGUCAGCGCCGCCGCGGUGAUUUAACAGCUUUUGUUUUGGGCAGAAGAACCUAUGGGCACAAAAAGCAGGAACGAGUAGCGGUGGCUGAAGAACGAGCAGGAGCUUGAAUUUCAGUUUUCUUAUGAGGAAUUUUCCAGAAAAGAUAUCUUCACUGUGAAAUAACUAAAUAAAUGCCCACUCAGUACAGUCACUGUCUCCCUUUUGGAACUUGAUGGCACCUUAAGCCCAGGUUUGCCUCCACUCUAGAAACUCAUCAGAGUGAUGCCCUUCUCAAAUGGGGGAGGUCCCAAAGCGGAUAUCCUGGCAGUGUGAAAGGCCGGCUAAAGGUUUGUGCCAAGAGGAUCUGUGGAAUGCAUCUCCUACAGCUGGUGCUGCUGAGUAACCACUCUGAUCUGGCAUCUUCUUUGAUCAAGUUACAGAGCAGAGUUUCCAGGGCUGGGGAUUGAAGUCCUGCCUCCUCCCUUUGUCUCUGGUUGUCCUCGCUUUCCCUGCACUCCAAACACAGAGCUGAGACUUCCACCUAAUGUAGAAAGCUAGCACGAGCCGGCGCUGACAGAUGGAAGACUUGAGAUGUUACAAGAUUAUAUAUGGAAACACAAAAGGAGAUACCGGAGCCAUGACAGACUGUGAUGGGGCUGGUGGACAGUUCAGCAAGACAUUGAUAUUGUCCAUUGGCGCUCAGUUCAUCUGUAAUGACACAUUCAAGGAUGACGAUUAAUGUCCAAUAUGUAUAAAGUGGAUCCCUUUGUAAAAACAA